UAACACGUAAGGAGCGAGCGUUGUUCGGAAUUAUUGGGCGUAAAGGGCAUGUAGGCGGUUUUUUAAGUCCGAUGUGAAAUACCACAGCUUAACUGUGGGAACGCAUUGGAAACUGAAAGACUUGAAUCAGUAAGGGGUAACCGGAAUUCCUAGUGUAGGGGUGAAAUCUGUUGAUAUUAGGAAGAACACCGAUGGCGAAGGCAGGUUACUGGUACAUGAUUGACGCUGAGAUGCGAAAGCGUAGGGAGCGAACAGGAUUAGAUACCCUGGUAGUCUACGCUGUAAACGAUGUGCACUUGGUGUCGGGGU
rnacentral:rRNA from 1 species